rnacentral:rRNA from 1 species
GUGAUGACUGCUAGAUUGACGCUGGCGGCAGGCCUAACACAUGCAAGUCGAGCGGCAGCGGGAAAGUAGCUUGCUACUUUUGCCGGCGAGCGGCGGACGGGUGAGUAAUGCCUGGGGAUCUGCCCAGUCGAGGGGGAUAACUACUGGAAACGGUAGCUAAUACCGCAUACGCCCUACGGGGGAAAGCAGGGGACCUUCGGGCCUUGCGCGAUUGGAUGAACCCAGGUGGGAUUAGCUAGUUGGUGAGGUAAUGGCUCACCAAGGCGACGAUCCCUAGCUGGUCUGAGAGGAUGAUCAGCCACACUGGAACUGAGACACGGUCCAGACUCCUACGGGAGGCAGCAGUGGGGAAUAUUGCACAAUGGGGGAAACCCUGAUGCAGCCAUGCCGCGUGUGUGAAGAAGGCCUUCGGGUUGUAAAGCACUUUCAGCGAGGAGGAAAGGUUGGUAGCUAAUAACUGCCAGCUGUGACGUUACUCGCAGAAGAAGCACCGGCUAACUCCGUGCCAGCCGCCGCGGUAAUUCGUCGUGACUGGGGAAA